rnacentral:lncRNA from 1 species
UCUUCGUCCAGCCAUGGACUAAGUGUUUUCACCCAUACCCCUUUCUAUUCAAUAUUUUGUUUCCACGUUUUGGUUCCAUUUUAUCUCUAGAAAUGCAUCAAGACGCAUAUAGUGCUUGUGUGCAAUAUUCCCUUGUGUUUUUUCCUUCGGGGCUUCCGACGACUUUGUCUUUUCUCUAACAACUGUCUCUCCUUAUGCUUAUAUGUCGUUUUUCCUUUUUAUGCUCUCUGACCUUAUUUGUGGAUGUGCUUCUGGUUGCUUGUGUGACGCAUAUAGUGCCUGUGUAUUGCUGCUCGUUUUUUGCUCUCUGGUUUUUUUGCUUUUUUUCUUCCGUGGUGUUGUUUUCGGUAGGUGCCUUUGGUGUGUUUGUAUUGGAGACGUAUGUGUGUCAAGACAUGCUUUUCUCUGUGUUGUAUAUCCCUUCUGUGCUUGUACCCAUAUAUUCUCUGGUGUCUUUUUAUAGUCUCUUACAUGCUCUUCGCCCUUUUUAUGUAUGUCUUCUCUCCAUGCUAACUCUGAUUUUUCUGCCUUUUAAAUAGUCCUCUGGUGUUUAGGUGUGAAACCUUUGGAUUGCUGAAUGAAUAACCUGGAUUAUGGGCGAAUAAGCCAAUGAAAAGGCCGCUGAAUGCAUGG